rnacentral:rRNA from 1 species
AUGAGUACCCCUGUACGUUUUAUCGCCGAUUUACACUGCAAUUAUGGGAUCGCUCUCAGCUGCCAUGUUGACGUUGGCAUGAGGGACGUUGAUUGGGUAGCGAUGUAUGCAUCCCGCCCACGCCUUGUCCAGCUGGGUUGCCGGGCCGAUGCACUCCCAGACGGCGCUGUUGCACUUGACCCCAGCUCCGAGGCCAACCAUCCACACACGGUCGCCCUUCCGCACCCGGCCAUUGGCCUCGAGGUACGCCAUCUCGUACCACACCGAGCUGCUCGACGUGUUGCCGAACCGGUGAAGCGCCAUGCGAGACGGCUCCACGUGCUCCUCCGACAGCCCGAGGCUAGACUGGACCUCGUCGACGACCGCACGCCCCCCUGCAUGGAUGCACACGUGAUGGAACGCCUUGCACAAGUCGGGGACGUAAGGCUUCACCUUCACGCCGCCUCGCCGGCCCAGCUUGAGCAGCAGUUUGUUGGCGACGAAGCGCAGCUGCUCGAAGAAGGGGAGCACCAGCGGGCCAAGGCCUGUGAUGUUGGCCUCGAGCGCGGCACCGGCGACGCACAUGAGGUCCCUGGAAAGUUUGACUCCCAAGUUGCCUUCGUCGUCCUCCUCCUGGAAGAUGCACCGGUAGGAGCUGUCCUGCUCGCCGCCGGUGAUCGUCCGCACGAGGUGGGCGAGUCGAAACCGCGCCCUGUCCUUGGACGUGGACAGCAGCACGGCGGCGCCGCCCACCCGAAAGAGCAUGUUGGACAGCAGCAUGGAGCGCUCCCUGCCGAGGUACAGGUUGGGCGUGAUGGUCUCCGUGGACACGACCAGAGCGUGAGCAGCAGCAACACCGUGGGGCGCUGCACGAAGUAG